CUUCAACGAGCCGAGCCACAGCGGCUGUUCGGGGUCGCGCCCCUGUCCGUAGGUGGCGAGCAGCGCUUGCGCCUC
rnacentral:antisense_RNA from 1 species